GACAGAGGGUGCAAACGUUGUUCGGAAUUACUGGGCGUAAAGCGCGCGUAGGCAGCAGCGUGUGUCGGGCGUGAAAUCCCACGGCUCAACCGUGGAAGUGCACUCGAAACUGCGCAGCUAGAGUCUCGGAGAGGAAGGCGGAAUGCUUGGUGUAGAGGUGAAAUUCGUAGAUAUCAAGCGGAACACCGGUGGCGAAGGCGGCAUCCUGGACCGGCAUUGACGCUGAGGCGCGAAAGCCAGGGGAGCAAACGGG
rnacentral:rRNA from 1 species